UGAUGCAUAGCCCGAGUUGAGAGACUGAUCGGGCCACAUUGGGGACUGAGACACGGGACCCAAAACUCCGUACGGGGAGGCAGCAGUAGGGAAUCUUCCACAAUGGACGAAAGUACUGAUGGAGCAACGCCGCGUGAGUGAAGAAGGUUUUCGGUAUCGUAAAAGACUCUGUUGUUGGUGAAGAAGGAUAGAGGUAGUAACUGGCCUUUAUUUGACGGUAAUCAACCAGAAAGUCACGGCUAACUACGUGCCAGCAGCCGCGGUAAU
rnacentral:rRNA from 1 species